rnacentral:tRNA from 3 species
GCGCUCGUAGCUCAGCUGGAUAGAGUGUCGCCCUCCGGAGGCGAAGGUCGUGAGUUCGAAUCUCGCCGAGCGCGCCA